UACGGAGGGGACUAGCGUUGUUCGGAAUUACUGGGCGUAAAGCGCGCGUAGGCGGAUUUGUAAGUCGGGGGUGAAAUCCCGGGGCUCAACCUCGGAACUGCCUUCGAUACUGCAAAUCUCGAGUCCGGAAGAGGUGAGUGGAAUUCCUAGUGUAGAGGUGAAAUUCGUAGAUAUUAGGAAGAACACCAGUGGCGAAGGCGGCUCACUGGUCCGGGACUGACGCUGAGGCGCGAAAGCGUGGGGAGCAAACAGG
rnacentral:rRNA from 1 species